rnacentral:rRNA from 1 species
AUUGAACGCUGGCGGCAUGCCUUACACAUGCAAGUCGAACGGUAACAGGUCUUCGGAUGCUGACGAGUGGCGAACGGGUGAGUAAUACAUCGGAACGUGCCCGAUCGUGGGGGAUAACGAGGCGAAAGCUUUGCUAAUACCGCAUACGAUCUACGGAUGAAAGCGGGGGAUCUUCGGACCUCGCGCGGACGGAGCGGCCGAUGGCAGAUUAGGUAGUUGGUGGGAUAAAAGCUUACCAAGCCGACGAUCUGUAGCUGGUCUGAGAGGAUGAUCAGCCACACUGGGACUGAGACACGGCCCAGACUCCUACGGGAGGCAGCAGUGGGGAAUUUUGGACAAUGGGCGAAAGCCUGAUCCAGCCAUGCCGCGUGCAGGAUGAAGGCCUUCGGGUUGUAAACUGCUUUUGUACGGAACGAAAAGCCUCUUUCUAAUAAAGAGGGGUCGUGACGGUACCGUAAGAAUAAGCACCGGCUAACUACGUG